rnacentral:rRNA from 1 species
CUACAAAUGAAUUGACGGGCCCCGCACAAGCAGCGGAGCGUGUGGUUUAAUUCGAUGCUACACGAAGAACCUUACCAGGGUUUGACAUACAAGUAGUAGGGAAAGGAAACUGGACCGACCCUUCGGGGAGCUUGUACAGGUGCUGCAUGGCUGUCGUCAGCUCGUGUCGUGAGAUGUUCGGUUAAGUCCGCUAACGAGCGCAACCCUCGCUGUGUGUUACAAGUGUCACACGGAACUGCCGGUCAUAAACCGGAGGAAGGUGGGGAUGACGUCAAGUCAGCAUGGCCUUUAUAUCCAGGGCUACACACACGCUACAAUGGUCUGUACAAUGGGUAGCCAAGCCGCGAGGCGGAGCCAAUCCUGAAAGCAGGCCUCAGUUCAGAUUGCAGUCUGCAACUCGACUGCAUGAAGCCGGAGUUGCUAGUAACCGCAGGUCAGCAAUACUGCGGUGAAUACGUUCCCGGGUCUU